CCGAUUGUUGUCGCUUGAGGAAGGAUUGGAAUAUUCAAAGGGUCGACUUCCCCAGAGGCAGCGAUACUCAUUGUAGCCAUGUCGAGAGGAGAGUACACUAUCAUGCCUCCUAAUGCGUCCAUGUAACACUCUUGUAGCACCAUCAUCGUCUUGUGUGGUUCUUGUACCAUAUUCUGUCCAAUAUCCCAUGGUGGUGUAGGCUAAUAUUGGAUAUAAAUACAAGUAAGGGUUUUGGAACAAGCGCGUCCACCCAACGCGCUCCCAAAUAUUCUCUCCCAACCCUAUCUCCUCGAGCUCGAAUCUCUGGUUUCACCUAGCCUCUCCGGCGCCGAUUUGCGUCGUGAGAGGGCUCACAAAUCUCCCAACGAGUCCAUCUUUCCAUGCCUCAACCCUUUGCUGCUCCUCCUCUGUCUUUCCUCCUUGCACGGUGUCUCUGGAUUCGUUAAAUCGUCGGGAAUCAAAGAUGUCUUUGAUUUUUUCUGGAGUUCUGGCGAGUUGAGACGAGUAUGGAUUAUCUUUGGGGCCUUGGGUCUGCUGCUAGUCACCGAUUGCGCUCGGAUCUGGGUCAGAUCUGGGAUCCGAGACCCGCCGGAAUUCCUGAUGUGUCGCUGCCGUCACCGUUCUAGCCUCGUCGUCUCUCUCCAAUCGGUUUUCUUCUAUCGGCCUACUCCAAGGUUUGUUGUAGAGCUUCUCCUCUCUAUCUAGAGUGACAGGUGGUUUCGAGGUGAGCCACCGAGGACCUCUGUAUUUAGUUCAACAGACAACAACCAUGGCGGUUUUCACAGUAAGCGUUGGUUCCUUCCUCUUGCUCUUGAUGCUGUUCGCUUGGGUUUUGAGGACAACCCUAUGUUACGGCGUCGCUUGCGUUAAGGUGGAGCUUUCCUGCUUCCUAGUUGAGUCGCCUGCUUUAAGGAGUUUCGAAGCUCCUUCUGCCCGUCACUUCCCGUGUUUCUCUGCUCCGACAGUUAGCUUUUUGAAGUUUUGAUUCUCUACUGCAUCUUUUGUGUCGCGUGGCCGGAUGGGGAUUGGAAUAUUCAAAGGGUCGACUUCCCCAGAGGCAGCGAUACUCAUUGUAGCCAUGUCGAGAGGAGAGUACACUAUCAUGCCUCCUAAUGCGUCCAUGUAACACUCUUGUAGCACCAUCAUCGUCUUGUGUGGUUCUUGUACCAUAUUCUGUCCAAUAUCCCAUGGUGGUGUAGGCUAAUAUUGGAUAUAAAUACAAGUAAGGGUUUUGGAACAAGCGCGUCCACCCAACGCGCUCCCAAAUAUUCUCUCCCAACCCUAUCUCCUCGAGCUCGAAUCUCUGGUUUCACCUAGCCUCUCCGGCGCCGAUUUGCGUCGUGAGAGGGCUCACAAAUCUCCCAACGAGUCCAUCUUUCCAUGCCUCAACCCUUUGCUGCUCCUCCUCUGUCUUUCCUCCUUGCACGGUGUCUCUGGAUUCGUUAAAUCGUCGGGAAUCAAAGAUGUCUUUGAUUUUUUCUGGAGUUCUGGCGAGUUGAGACGAGUAUGGAUUAUCUUUGGGGCCUUGGGUCUGCUGCUAGUCACCGAUUGCGCUCGGAUCUGGGUCAGAUCUGGGAUCCGAGACCCGCCGGAAUUCCUGAUGUGUCGCUGCCGUCACCGUUCUAGCCUCGUCGUCUCUCUCCAAUCGGUUUUCUUCUAUCGGCCUACUCCAAGGUUUGUUGUAGAGCUUCUCCUCUCUAUCUAGAGUGACAGGUGGUUUCGAGGUGAGCCACCGAGGACCUCUGUAUUUAGUUCAACAGACAACAACCAUGGCGGUUUUCACAGUAAGCGUUGGUUCCUUCCUCUUGCUCUUGAUGCUGUUCGCUUGGGUUUUGAGGACAACCCUAUGUUACGGCGUCGCUUGCGUUAAGGUGGAGCUUUCCUGCUUCCUAGUUGAGUCGCCUGCUUUAAGGAGUUUCGAAGCUCCUUCUGCCCGUCACUUCCCGUGUUUCUCUGCUCCGACAGUUAGCUUUUUGAAGUUUUGAUUCUCUACUGCAUCUUUUGUGUCGCGUGGCCGGAUGGAGCAUGUUUAGACCGCCUGCGCUUGACCGUAACCUGUGCUUCCUUGUCUUCUGCGGUGUUGAGUCGAAUCUGAUCUUUGAUUCCUGUCGAGAUAGCUUUGGGUGUUUGUUCUAUCGGCGUCCUCCUCCAGUGGUGUUCCGGGGUGAGAGCCAGCCACCUCCGUUGAAGCUGCUUGGAGCCACUUCGGUGAGUGUUCGAAUGAACUUCCCUAUGAGUUUUCUCCUGCUUAUGAAGGUUUCUGAAUGAGCUGGAAGCGCUUAGGUCUGGGAGUUAUAUAUUGUUGUUUGUUGUUCUAGUUGAUAUCUUAACUUCAAGCCUACCAAUGUCUGGUAACUUGAAUUUAAGUUCUUAGGUUCUUAGGAGUUUUUUUAAACUUUUUGCAGCUUCUAAGUAACCAAAUGGCUGUCAAAGCAGACUAUGGCUGCAAGUCAUCUUGUAACCAAAACUUUCAUUAGAAAUAAUGACAUUUACAAUUUAGCAAAAAA
rnacentral:lncRNA from 1 species